rnacentral:misc_RNA from 1 species
ACAAAUCCUUACCAGACGCGUGCAAUAAAUAAUGGCCACUCCAGAUGAUACCAGCAUUACCGUGGAACCGCCAGUAGACACGGGGUCAAAGCCGACCAGUAACGGGUUCGGUCCGGACCCGGCAGUGGCUAAAUGCCCGGAAUGUGACCAUACCGGAGAGACAGACGUUUUCUACGAGCCAGGAGUAUAUACUUAUGGUUUAUGUCUUCUGUUGUUGUUUAUGGGUUAUAUAAAUCCUCUACAGAAUGUGGCUGGGAUGUUUCGCCAUUCCUUUCUGUGUGCCAAGUGCCAAAGACUGCGUGCACAAGUGUUCCCAUUGUGGGGCCGAAUUGGGAAGAUUCCGAAGAUAUGAAAAAGAAAUCCGAGAACCAUACACGUGACAACAGUUAAUAAAAACCAGUUUUUGACAAUGAACAAAGAAGUAACUUGCCAGUUCCCCUUGUGAUAUUUCUGAGACAAAGCCCUUUGUGAGAUAAAGGCAAUAAUUCUCAGUUUUACACAGACCUUCAUUAUAUGUGCCAUGUAAUUUUGUUAUUUCAUCUGAGUCUUUCAAGUGAUUGUCCUAGUCUGAUUGAGAAAUGUUAAUUAAAAACACAAAACUACAGAUGAGCUGAUUACGCGACUUUUCUGGUAUGGUAUUUAUAUAUAAACUACAAACUGUAUAUGAUAUGAAAGUGCUGUAAUUGCGUGAUUUAAUAUCAUCUCUCUCUCUCUCUCUCUUUGAUAUCAUAAUCUCAAUCCUACACAGUGUAUACAUAUCUGUGAGUAUAUGAUUUGAUAAGAACAUUCGUACAUGUGAAUUUCAUGGGGUUUUUUUCUUACGAAAAAACGAUGAAUUCCAUAUUAUGCAAUUAUGCCUCAUGAAAUUUAAGUGAAAGUAGCACACAAAUGAAAUUUACAGAGCGCGAAUAUACUUAUUAUGCACAAUUACACAAAAUUCUACACUGCAUGAAUACCAAUGAAGAAUUCCGUGGGUUUCAACGGUGGCCGUGAUCGUGACAUUACGUGGAAAUCACGUGGUAAACGAGGACCAAAAAUAACGUAAUCACGCGGGGUGCAUUUGUAUGCUACAAUUAUACAAACCGGCCAGUGUUACAGUGUAUUUGCAAUCAACAAAAAUGUUUUUAUUUACGUCUGUGUACAUGUUUAUAGCGAUGCAUCUAAAUAUUCCUGAUUUCUUUGAAUGCUUUGUAAUAGUGAAUGUCUGUGUGUAAAAGCGGAUUUUAACAAAAUCAU